GGGGGGGGGGGGGGGGGGGGGGGGGGGGGGGGGGGCGGGGGGGGGGGCGCUGGUGGCAGGGUGCUCGGGGGGCGAAGGGGUGGGGAACACGGGGGUGAGCUGCCCUGCACUUCGGGAUAAGCCUGGGAAGCUGGGUCUAAUACCGGAUAGGAGCCAUUUGUAGUGUGAUGGUUUGAAAGUUUUUUCGGUGUAGGAUGAGCUCGCGGCCUAUCAGCUUGUUGGUGGGGUAAUGGCCUACCAAGGCGGCGACGGGUAGCCGGCCUGAGAGGGUGGACGGCCACAUUGGGACUGAGAUACGGCCCAGACUCCUACGGGAGGCAGCAGUGGGGAAUAUUGCACAAUGGGCGCAAGCCUGAUGCAGCGACGCCGCGUGGGGGAUGACGGGCUUCGGGUUGUAAACUCCUUUCGCUAGGGACGAAGCUUUUUGUGACGGUACCUAGAUAAGAAGCACCGGCUAACUACGUG
rnacentral:rRNA from 1 species